rnacentral:rRNA from 1 species
GAAAAGAAAAUAACAAUGAUUUCCCUAGUACGGCGAGUGAAGAGGAAAGAGCUCAAAGUUGGAACCUGUUUGGCUUAGCUAAACCGGAUUGUAAACUGUAGAAGUGUUUUCCAGACACGCCUGGUAAAAAAGUCCUUUGGAACAGGGCAUCAUAGAGGGUGAGAAUCCCGUCAUUGGCCAGAGCUGUUGUCUUUUGUGAUACAUUUUCAAAGAGUCAGGUUGUUUGGGAAUGCAGCCUAAAUUGGGUGGUAAAUCUCACCUAAAGCUAAAUAUUUGCGAGAGACCGAUAGCGAACAAGUACCGUGAGGGAAAGAUGAAAAGAACUUUGAAAAGAGAGUUAAACAGUAUGUGAAAUUGUUAAAAGGGAACCGUUUGGAGCCAGACUGGCUUAAUCGUAAUCACUCUAGGCUUUGGCCUGGAUGCACUUGCGGUUUAUGCCGGCCAACGACAGUUUUGCUUGAGGGAAAAAACUACAUUGAAUGUGGCCCUUCGGGGUGUUAUAGCUUUGUAGAAAAUACCUUGGGCGGGACUGAGGAACGCAGUGAAUGCCUUUUAAGGCAAGAUUGCUGAGUGCUUGCGCUGAUACAUGCUAGAAUUUCUGCUUCGGGUGGUGCUAGUGUGUAAAGGAGUAACUCGCUUAGUAUAUUUUUUAUUCGCUUAGGUUGUUGGCUUAAUGACUCUAAA